rnacentral:misc_RNA from 1 species
CCGAGUUAUACAACUCCUCAACCCCUGUGAACAUACCUAACUUGUUGCCUCGGCGGAAUCAGCCCGGCCCCGUAACACGGGACGCCCCGCCAGAGGACCCCUAACUCUGUUUCUAUAAUGUACUUCUGAGUAAACCAGCAAAUAAAUCA